CGCGAUACAGGGUGACAGCCCCGUACACAAAAAUGCACAUGCUGUGAGCUCGAUGAGUAGGGCGGGACACGUGGUAUCCUGUCUGAAUAUGGGGGGACCAUCCUCCAAGGCUAAAUACUCCUGACUGACCGAUAGUGAACCAGUACCGUGAGGGAAAGGCGAAAAGAACCCCGGCGAGGGGAGUGAAAAAGAACCUGAAACCGUGUACGUACAAGCAGUGGGAGCACAGAGCAAUCUGUGUGACUGCGUACCUUUUGUAUAAUGGGUCAGCGACUUAUAUUCUGUAGCAAGGUUAACCGAAUAGGGGAGCCGAAGGGAAACCGAGUCUUAACUGGGCGUUAAGUUGCAGGGUAUAGACCCGAAACCCGGUGAUCUAGCCAUGGGCAGGUUGAAGGUUGGGUAACACUAACUGGAGGACCGAACCGACUAAUGUUGAAAAAUUAGCGGAUGACUUGUGGCUGGGGGUGAAAGGCCAAUCAAACCGGGAGAUAGCUGGUUCUCCCCGAAAGCUAUUUAGGUAGCGCCUCGUGAAUUCAUCUCCGGGGGUAGAGCACUGUUUCGGCAAGGGGGUCAUCCCGACUUACCAACCCGAUGCAAACUGCGAAUACCGGAGAAUGUUAUCACGGGAGACACACGGCGGGUGCUAACGUCCGUCGUGAAGAGGGAAACAACCCAGACCGCCAGCUAAGGUCCCAAAGUCAUGGUUAAGUGGGAAACGAUGUGGGAAGGCCCAGACAGCCAGGAUGUUGGCUUAGAAGCAGCCAUCAUUUAAAGAAAGCGUAAUAGCUCACUGGUCGAGUCGGCCUGCGCGGAAGAUGUAACGGGGCUAAACCAUGCACCGAAGCUGCGGCAGCGACACUGUGUGUUGUUGGGUAGGGGAGCGUUCUGUAAGCCUGUGAAGGUGUGCUGUGAGGCAUGCUGGAGGUAUCAGAAGUGCGAAUGCUGACAUAAGUAACGAUAAAGCGGGUGAAAAGCCCGCUCGCCGGAAGACCAAGGGUUCCUGUCCAACGUUAAUCGGGGCAGGGUGAGUCGACCCCUAAGGCGAGGCCGAAAGGCGUAGUCGAUGGGAAACAGGUUAAUAUUCCUGUACUUGGUGUUACUGCGAAGGGGGGACGGAGAAGGCUAUGUUGGCCGGGCGACGGUUGUCCCGGUUUAAGCGUGUAGGCUGGUUUUCCAGGCAAAUCCGGAAAAUCAAGGCUGAGGCGUGAUGACGAGGCACUACGGUGCUGAAGCAACAAAUGCCCUGCUUCCAGGAAAAGCCUCUAAGCAUCAGGUAACAUCAAAUCGUACCCCAAACCGACACAGGUGGUCAGGUAGAGAAUACCAAGGCGCUUGAGAGAACUCGGGUGAAGGAACUAGGCAAAAUGGUGCCGUAACUUCGGGAGAAGGCACGCUGAUAUGUAGGUGAAGUCCCUCGCGGAUGGAGCUGAAAUCAGUCGAAGAUACCAGCUGGCUGCAACUGUUUAUUAAAAACACAGCACUGUGCAAACACGAAAGUGGACGUAUACGGUGUGACGCCUGCCCGGUGCCGGAAGGUUAAUUGAUGGGGUCAGCGCAAGCGAAGCUCUUGAUCGAAGCCCCGGUAAACGGCGGCCGUAACUAUAACGGUCCUAAGGUAGCGAAAUUCCUUGUCGGGUAAGUUCCGACCUGCACGAAUGGCGUAAUGAUGGCCAGGCUGUCUCCACCCGAGACUCAGUGAAAUUGAACUCGCUGUGAAGAUGCAGUGUACCCGCGGCAAGACGGAAAGACCCCGUGAACCUUUACUAUAGCUUGACACUGAACAUUGAGCCUUGAUGUGUAGGAUAGGUGGGAGGCUUUGAAGUGUGGACGCCAGUCUGCAUGGAGCCGACCUUGAAAUACCACCCUUUAAUGUUUGAUGUUCUAACGUGGACCCGUGAUCCGGGUUGCGGACAGUGUCUGGUGGGUAGUUUGACUGGGGCGGUCUCCUCCUAAAGAGUAACGGAGGAGCACGAAGGUUGGCUAAUCCUGGUCGGACAUCAGGAGGUUAGUGCAAUGGCAUAAGCCAGCUUGACUGCGAGCGUGACGGCGCGAGCAGGUGCGAAAGCAGGUCAUAGUGAUCCGGUGGUUCUGAAUGGAAGGGCCAUCGCUCAACGGAUAAAAGGUACUCCGGGGAUAACAGGCUGAUACCGCCCAAGAGUUCAUAUCGACGGCGGUGUUUGGCACCUCGAUGUCGGCUCAUCACAUCCUGGGGCUGAAGUAGGUCCCAAGGGUAUGGCUGUUCGCCAUUUAAAGUGGUACGCGAGCUGGGUUUAGAACGUCGUGAGACAGUUCGGUCCCUAUCUGCCGUGGGCGCUGGAGAACUGAGGGGGGCUGCUCCUAGUACGAGAGGACCGGAGUGGACGCAUCACUGGUGUUCGGGUUGUCAUGCCAAUGGCACUGCCCGGUAGCUAAAUGCGGAAGAGAUAAGUGCUGAAAGCAUCUAAGCACGAAACUUGCCCCGAGAUGAGUUCUCCCUGACCCUUUAAGGGUCCUGAAGGAACGUUGAAGACGACGACGUUGAUAGGCCGGGUGUGUAAGCGCAGCGAUGCGUUGAGCUAACCGGUACUAAUGAACCGUGAGGCUUAACCUU
rnacentral:rRNA from 1 species